GUCAGUAAAAUUGAUUAUCAGAUUUUAAAAAUAUUUUUUGGGAGAGUUUUUUUUUGUUUUGUUUUUAAUGAUAUAUUCUAAAUCAAGCUUGUUUUUUUUAUAUUGUUUUAUUAAGGGAGAAAUUAAAGGUUAUAGAAAUUCUUCAUGAACAAGCGAAUGUACAAAUGUGUGUCUGGACUUCUGGAGAAUAUUAUUAUUCUUUUUUUUCAGCAUUUUUUUUUUUUCCUUUAUUUAAUUGUAUACAAUAUUAUCCUGAACUCGAACUGCCCUGAGAAACAGCUCCGUUUGUUUCCACUUCAACUCCUGUUUUUUUUUUUCAGAUAUACUGCCACAGCAACUUCGGUUCGAUUAAACUAAUGUGCUUCAGUACGAUUAAACUAAUUUGCCGAAUAUGUGAAAAUGGAGACUUUCCGCGGAAGAAAGUUCGAAGAGAAAAUAAAUUAGCAGAGAGAAUAUUUAAAGGAUAUUCCUCACCGUUCUCUUCUCGACGACAUCGCACAUUUCCCGCCAAAAAUCGAGGAGAAAAAUGGCGGACUUCUGUAUAAGCCACAUUUAAAGGCGACUUUGAGGUUUUCUUAUGUACACUGGAAACAAAAAUUCGUUUGAAGAUAUUCCCUAACGAA